CUUGGCGUGUGAUUAGAAGAGAACCAUCUCUUCUUUGGUGAGUGUUCAACCUUCAUGCUAUUGUAUUUGGAAAAGAAGGAGAACCAAAUUAGAUCUAGAUAAUUCUCUGCUAUUUCUCCAUACUCCAGUGACCUUUGUCGAUCCAUCUUCAGUCUCGAAAGAGUCUGAGAUGAUUGGAGAAGAAGAUCCAAUCAGAUCAGCCAUCAGACUCAAUUUUUGCGAACUAGCACUCCCAGAGAUAGU
rnacentral:lncRNA from 1 species